UGGCAAGCGGCGCGUAGGCGGAGGACCGCCCACGGCUCCCUGCGGCGGUGGGGCGGGGUCCGGGGUCCGAAGCCCGAGGACUCCGGAAACGGUCCUGCUGACCCAGUACCAUGUGGAACCAGGUUAGAAGAUCUUCCGGUACCAACGCCACAGCAUCUUUUUAUUCACCUGGCGAAAUGGAGGACCAGAGAGGUUAAGUGCAUUGCCUGAGGUCACACAGCAAGUUCCCAGGACGCACUGCCAGGUCUGUUACAUCAAGGUCUGUGAGCUUGGUUCAGAGCAGAUACUGAUUGAUUGAUUGGCUGAUUGAUUAACUGAUUAAGACAGCAUCUCACUGUGUGCUCCAAGCUGGCCUUGAACUCACAGAGUUAUCAGUGAAAGACAUGCACCACUGUGCCUGGCUUGAUCUUAUUCUGUUUUUAUUUAGUAUUGUUAAGGUGUGUUUUUAAUAGGCACAUGUGUAGCACUCGUGUAGGUCAGAGGAGAGGUUUUUUGGUCAGUUCUCUCCUCCCGUCAAGUGGCUGCCACAGAUAGAGCUCCGGUUGCCAGGCUUGGUACGAGUGCCUUCGACCCCUGAGGGUCCCCUGAAGCAGGGUCUUCCGUAGCCCUAGCCGGUCUUCAAUCCCUUACACAUCUGAGGAUAACCUUGAUUUCCUGAAGUGCUGGGACAGCAGGGGAGUGCUCCCCUAACUGUGCCUCAGCUCAGUGUAGCCUUUCAGACUGUUGGAAGAUUAUUGAAGGAGAAAGUCUGUGCCUCCUCCCGCAGCCAGGAGGCCUCUAAGGCCAGUUCAAGUAGCCAGAUGGACCACGGGAGCCUCACUGACCUCCCAGAAACAAGCAGGCGGCUCAGUCUGCUGGCACUAUUGUACAUCUGAAGUUCCAGUUGCUUGGAACACUGAGGCAGGUGGAUCGCUUGAAUGUAGGUGUUGAAGAACAGCCUGGAAAAAGUAUAGUAAGAUCUUGUUCAAGUGUUUGUUUACAUUAAAUAAAUAUUUCCCAGGUGGUGGGUGGGUAGGUGGCACUUCUCUCUCUCUCUCUCCCCUUCAUAUGCAUGUGUGUGUGCACAUGCACACACACACACACACACACACACACACACACACACAUAUACACUUUUAAGAAACAGAGUAUAGUAGUGAGUUGGAGGCAAGCCUGGGCUACAUGAGACUGUCUAAAAAACAAAAAUGAAGCCAAAAAUAUGUCUUUGCUAUCACUAAAAGUAAGGGUGGGGGCUGGAGAGAUGGCUCAGAGGUUAAGAGCACAGACUGCUCUUCCAGAGGACCUGAGUUCAAUUCCCAGCAAGCACAUGGUGGCUCACAACCAUCCGUAAUGAGCUUUGACGCCCUCUUCUGGAGUAUCUGGAGACAGCUACAGCGUGCUCACAUAUAAUAAAUAAAUAAAUCUUUAAAAGGAAAAAAGCAAAGUAAGGGCGGCGGGCAGGUAAGUAUUCCUGCCUGUCGUCGGCCAGCACAGUGAAUGGUGACAAACAUGCCUCUGUGUGGGCGGAGAGCCACCUCGGAAGACAGCCAAGCAGAUGGCGCAGAAGCUCAACCCCUGGAGCCCACCAGACGCUUGCUGGUGCUGCUGCACUGGCCCGGGCCUGAGGGCGGAGAGCCCUGGGUCACCUUCAGCCAGGCAGCUCUGACCGCAGAGGAGGCCUGCAUCCAAGUAGCCCACAGAGUCGGCAUCACUCCCCCCUGCUUGAAUCUCUUCGCCCUCUACGAUGCUCAGGCCAAGGUCUGGCUGCCCCCAAACCACAUUCUGGACACAUCCCAAGACGGGAGCCCGAGCCCGAGCCUCUAUUUUCGAAUGAGGUUUUACUUCAGGAACUGGCACGGCCUGAAUCCCCAGGAGCCAGCUGUAUACCGAUGUGGCUUCCCAGGGGCGGAGACUUCCUCAGACCGGGCCGAGCAGGGUGUCCAGCUGUUGGACUCUGCCUCCUUUGAAUACCUGUUUGAGCAGGGAAAGCAUGAGUUCAUGAACGAUGUGGUGUCUCUGCGGGACCUGUCCAGCGAGGAGGAGAUCCACCACUUUAAGAACGAGAGCUUGGGCAUGGCCUUCCUGCACCUCUGCCACCUGGCUCUCAGCAGAGGAGUCCCCCUGGAGGAGAUGGCCAGAGAGAUCAGCUUCAAGAACUGCAUCCCUCGUUCCUUCCGUCAGCACAUCCGCCAGCACAACGUGCUCACGCGCCUGCGGCUCCGCCGAGUCUUCCGCCGCUUCCUGCAGGCCUUCCGGCCCAGCCACCUCUCCCGGCAGGUGGUGAUGGUGAAGUACUUGGCCACCCUGGAGCGGCUGGCCCCUCGCUUUGGCUCGGAGCGCAUACCUGUGUGUCACCUGGAGGUCCUGGCUCAGCCCGAGAGGGACCCCUGCCUCACCCAGAACAGUGGGCAGAGCCCUGGGGACCCAGGCCCAGAGCUGACUCCCGGGCCUCCCACCCACGAGGUACUGGUGACAGGCACCGGCGGUAUCCAGUGGCGCCCACUACAGACCCAGGAACCGGAGGGGACAAACAGCAGAGGGACUCCCCACAGCAGUGGCAGCCAGUCUGAGAAGAAGAAAGCCAAGGCCCCUGAGGCCGGGGAGCGCCUGGCGGGGAGUCCUCCGGAAGCGCUGUGGACCUGCUUCUGUGACUUCCAGGACAUUUCCCACGUGGUGCUAAAGGAGCAGCGUGUACACAUCCACCUGCAAGACAACAAGUGCUUGCUGCUGUGCCUCUGUUCCCAGGCUGAGGCCCUGUCCUUUGUGGCGCUGGUCGAUGGCUACUUCCGCUUGACUGCUGACUCCAGCCACUACCUGUGCCAUGAGGUGGCACCCCCGAGGCUGGUGAUGAGCAUCCAGAACGGUGUCCACGGGCCCCUGAUGGAUCCAUUUGUUCAGGCCAAACUGUGGCCAGAGGAUGGCCUCUACCUGAUUCAGUGGAGUACCAGCCACCUGCACCGCCUGAUCCUUACGGUGGCCCAUCGAAACCCGGCUUCCAGUAAUGGCCCUAAGGGCCUGCGCCUGCGCAAGUUCCCCAUCCUCCAGCAGCCCGGAGCCUUCGUGCUGGAUGGCUGGGGCCGCACCUUCGACAGCUUGGGGGCCCUUCGGCUCGCCUUGCAGGGCUGCUCGUUGCGGGCAGGUGAUGACUGUUUUCCCUUGCAACACUGCGUCCUGCCCCGGCCAAGAGAAAUCUCCAACCUCGUCGUCAUGCGGGGCUCUAGGGCCCACCCCCGGCCGCUCAACCUCAGUCAGCUGAGCUUCCACAGGGUCCACCAGGAUGAAAUCACCCAGCUGUCCCACUUGGGCCAAGGCACGAGGACCAAUGUAUACGAGGGCCUGCUGAGAGUGGGAGGCCCCGCUGAGAGCAAAGUGGACAGCGGAUGUGCCCCUGAGCCUGGCGGGGCCAGCGGGCAGCAGCUUCGCGUGGUGCUCAAGGUUCUCGACCCCAGUCACCAUGAUAUCGCCUUGGCCUUCUAUGAAACCGCUAGCCUCAUGAGCCAGGUGUCACACAUGCACCUGGCUUUCCUGCAUGGCGUUUGCGUGCGUGGCUCAGAGAAUAUCAUUGUGACAGAAUUUGUAGAGCACGGUCCCCUGGAUGUGUGGUUACGGCGACAGAGGGGCCGAGUGCCCAUGACCUGGAAGAUGGCCGUGGCUCAGCAGCUGGCCAGCGCCCUCAGCUACCUGGAGGACAAGAAUCUGGUUCAUGGGAACGUGUGUGGCCGGAACAUCCUGCUGGCCCGCCUGGGGCUGGAGGAGGGCACCAACCCCUUCAUCAAGCUAAGCGAUCCUGGUGUGGGCCAAGGCGCCCUCUCCAGGGAAGAGCGGGUGGAGCGCAUCCCCUGGACAGCUCCCGAGUGCCUGUCUGGAGGGGCCAACAGCUUGGGCACUGCCACGGACAUGUGGGGCUUCGGGGCCACCCUUCUGGAGAUCUGCUUUGACGGGGAGGCGCCCCUGCAGGGUCGCGGUCCCUCCGAGAAAGAACGGUUUUACACAAAGAAACAUCAACUCCCUGAGCCCUCAUGCCCAGAGCUGGCCACACUCACCCGCCAGUGCCUGACCUAUGAACCAGCACAGCGGCCGUCAUUCCGCACCAUUUUGCGGGAUCUCACAAGACUGCAGCCACAGAAUCUAGUGGGCACUUCGGCUGUGAACUCAGACUCCCCAGCAUCAGACCCCACUGUCUUCCACAAACGUUAUUUGAAAAAGAUCCGGGAUUUGGGCGAGGGUCAUUUUGGCAAGGUCAGCCUGUACUGCUACGACCCAACCAACGACGGCACUGGUGAGAUGGUGGCUGUUAAAGCUCUGAAGGAGGGGUGUGGCCCCCAGCUCCGCUCAGGCUGGCAGCGGGAGAUCGAGAUCCUGCGGACGCUGUACCACGAACACAUCGUCAAGUACAGAGGCUGCUGCGAGGACCAAGGAGAGAAGUCUGUACAGCUGGUCAUGGAAUAUGUCCCCCUGGGCAGCCUCCGAGACUACCUGCCGAGGCACAGCGUAGGGCUGGCGCAGCUCCUGCUGUUCGCCCAGCAGAUCUGCGAGGCCAGGGUUGAGCCUGACUCGCUCUGCCCCACCCCAGGGCAUGGCCUACCUGCACGCUCAGCACUACAUUCACCGAGACCUCGCUGCACGCAACGUACUGCUGGACAACGACAGGCUGGUCAAGAUUGGAGACUUUGGCCUAGCCAAGGCUGUGCCUGAAGGCCACGAGUACUACCGAGUGCGCGAGGACGGGGACAGCCCAGUGUUCUGGUAUGCUCCAGAAUGCCUGAAGGAGUGCAAAUUUUACUAUGCAUCUGAUGUCUGGUCCUUUGGGGUGACCCUGUAUGAGCUGUUGACAUACUGUGAC